rnacentral:rRNA from 1 species
CAGCCGCCGCGGUAAUACGGAGGGUGCAAGCGUUAAUCGGAAUUACUGGGCGUAAAGCGCACGCAGGCGGUUUGUCAAGUCAGAUGUGAAAUCCCCGAGCUUAACUUGGGAACUGCAUUUGAAACUGGCAAGCUAGAGUCUUGUAGAGGGGGGUAGAAUUCCAGGUGUAGCGGUGAAAUGCGUAGAGAUCUGGAGGAAUACCGGUGGCGAAGGCGGCCAUCUGGGACAACACUGACGCUGAGGCACGAAAGCGUGGGGAGCAAACAGGAUUAGAGACCCCUGUAGUCCCUGUCUCUUAUAC